rnacentral:rRNA from 1 species
AAUAGAUACCCCGGUAGUCCACGCCGUAAACGAUGAGUGCUAAGUGUUAGAGGGUUUCCGCCCUUUAGUGCUGCAGCUAACGCAUUAAGCACUCCGCCUGGGGAGUACGGCCGCAAGACUGAAACUCAAAGGAAUUGACGGGGGCCCGCACAAGCGGUGGAGCAUGUGGUUUAAUUCGAAGCAACGCGAAGAACCUUACCAGGUCUUGACAUCCUCUGACAACCCUAGAGAUAGGGCUUUCCCCUUCGGGGGACAGAGUGACAGGUGGUGCAUGGUUGUCGUCAGCUCGUGUCGUGAGAUGUUGGGUUAAGUCCCGCAACGAGCGCAACCCUUGAUCUUAGUUGCCAGCAUUAAGUUGGGCACUCUAAGGUGACUGCCGGUGACAAACCGGAGGAAGGUGGGGAUGACGGUCAAAUCAUCAUGCCCCUUAUGACCUGGGCUACACACGUGCUACAAUGGAUGGUACAAAGGGCUGCAAACCUGCGAAGGUAAGCGAAUCCCAUAAAGCCAUUCUCAGUUCGGAUUGCAGGCUG